rnacentral:misc_RNA from 1 species
GGAAGAUAGAUAUUUGAGAGCAUCAUUUGGGACUGCAAAAUACUGCCAUGCGUGGUUGAGAAACACGCCUUGCAGUAAUCCGUCUUGUCUAUAUUUGCAUAGCAUUGGUGCUGAUGAAGAUAGCUUUGGCAAAGAUGACGUAGCUGCGAUUCAUACAAGGAAUAGAGUUCAACAAAUAGCUGGUGACGCCAGUAAUAUGAUGAAUCGUUCAGGAAAUGUCUUGCCACCUCCAAUUGAUGAAUUAUCUAGCACUGGCUUUACAUUGACUGAGACAUCUAGCAUUAGAAAUGCUGCAAGUGAUGCAUCAAAUGAUACAGUGAAUUACAGUAGCUACAUGGCUCAUGUAGUUCCUCAUGAUAAGGAUGGAGACGCUGGUGGACCAAACAGAAUGACAACGUUUGUUGAUAUUGUUGGACGGUACAAUACUUCUGGUGCAGAGAGCGAUGGAAAUAGCACGGAAGAUUGUAGGAUUUUGAAUUUAUCUUCUGACCUAUCUUCAGUAACCAUUAGUAAAGAUAAUCAUAGACAUGAAAAAUAUCCUGAUAAAACUUUGUUCAAGGUUCCAUCUUCAAAUCACAUUGUCAAUCAUCCGCGAGGCAACCUAAAUU